GCUGCCUUUAAUUGAAUAGGGAGUUCCAGUUCUAGCUGGAACUUGAACUUGUUACCUCUUGAUCAUUUAUCUGACCCUGAAACCCAGCGCUGAAGCUCCACGGGGACAGCAAGCUGCUCCUCCAGAAGCCGACGCCCCCGGGACCGUCAAGCAGGUCAUGUGACCCCGUGUAAAGCAGCGGAACAACACCGCUGCAAUCUGCCUGCAACUAUCUGGCCCACAUUCCUAGGAAUGGCUCCCAGCCGGCCAUGGCGGGCUUACAUGGGGGAGAGCGGGAAUGGAGGAUGCCUGGCUGCAAUCCAGCUCAGGUUCACCUUUAGCCGCCACCAUUAAUCAGCUUCUGCACCAGCAUGAGGGAAUAUGGAUGAGGGAGAGAAAUUACCAGAGAUGUGGCAGAGACAAGACACGAAGAUGGAUCGAAGGAAGGGACUGCAAAACUGAGUCAGAUUUUUAAUUUCAGAUUCCUGAAUCGAUAGCUUUGUAACACAGCAUCAUGCAGCAGAACAAAAGGAUGACCAAAAAGAAAGCAAAAUGGCAGAUAACGAUCUGAAGCACACUGGACUGCAGCCAGAAAGCGGCUUUGCACUCUGACAAGCUGUGAGGAUGAGCGAGAGUCAUGAGCAGAAUGGAAACCUGAAGAGGAACUUCCUGUGUGCACUUUACCGAGCAGGCUGGAGAGCUGACGGGCAGCACCUCCCAGCAUUUCACAGUAACCUUUUUAGCGCAUGUUUGGAGAUGUGCUAGAAGAACAUGAUGUUUCCUUUGCCUUAACCAUGGUAACAGCAAGUGAACUCCAGCCAGGCCAAAAGACAUGCAGAGGUAUUAGCGAUCUAACAUAAAAAUGAGGACGCGCCUGAGGGUGGCCGGAUGCCAGUUGAGAGCCUUGUGGGGCGGGGGACCACACAAUCAUAGUGCUUUCAUCGAGGACCGCUGCCCUCAUGAAGGCUGGGGGCCACCUCACACAGAUGGUGGACUGCAGCCGUAGUAGCACAACAGAAAAGUGUGUGAGGUUAGUAGGUGAAGAUAGUAUGCAGGUAUAGCAUGUGGGUGCAGCAAGUAGGGUGGGUAUAGCAUGUAGGUAUAGUAUGAGGGUGUAGCAUAUGGGGGUUGCGUGUGAGGACAGCAUAUGGAUAUAGCAGAUCAGCAUAAUGUGAGAUAGUGUGUGAGGACUGCAUGUGAGGUUAGCAUGUGGAAUUUGCACAUGAUAAUAGUACUGUAUGUGUGGUGCACAUGGGAGGGUAGCAGGUGCGGAGAACAUGUGGGUAUAGCAUGUGACCAUAGCAUGUGGGUGUAGCAUGGGACGAUAACAUGUGGGUGUAGCAUCUGAUGAUAGUACAGUAUGUGACGAUAGCAUGUACAGACAGCAUGUGGGUGUAGCAUGGGAUGAUAGCAUAUGGGGACGGAUGGGUGUAGCAUGUGAUGAUAGCAUACAGCAUGCAGACAGCAUUUGACAUGUGCGGGUGCAUGCAUAGCAUGUUAUGACAGUGUGAGGAUAAUGGGUGAGAGCUCUGCUGCUGAGAACUACAGUUUAUUUCCUCUGCAUUUAUACAUAUAUCUGCUGUGUUCAUUAAUUCCUGUUAAGAAUAUAAUUAAAAGUAAAGGCAGCAAAGAUGAUGCACAGAAGCAUUCUGACCAUGGAGGACAGAUAAAAUUAAAAUCUCAAACUCAAGAGA